AGGGGUGUGAUUCUGAUAAAAU
rnacentral:siRNA from 1 species